UACGUAGGUGACCAGCGUUGUCCGGAUUUACUGGGCGUAAAGAGCGCGCAGGCGGUCGUUCAAGUCGAGUGUGAAAGCCCCCGGCUCAACUGGGGAGGGUCAUUCGAUACUGAUCGACUCGAAGGCAGGAGAGGGAAGCGGAAUUCCCGGUGUAGUGGUGAAAUGCGUAGAUAUCGGGAGGAAUACCAGUGGCGCAAGCGGCGCCCUGGCCGUGACCUGACACUGAGCCUCGACGGCGUGGGGAGCGAACAGG
rnacentral:rRNA from 1 species